rnacentral:lncRNA from 1 species
CGGCUCCGACGAUGACUGCCGACAAUGGCUGCCGACGAUAUCCGACCGAAGAUAUAUUAGCCGAACAGACUCAUACUGUUCCCGACCGGCCAAACGGCCGAGUCCAAAUCACCGACUCACUGUCAGGGGUGGUAGCCGACAUCCGAUCUUCGCAAGGCACCAGACUAGCCGACGGUGUCUUCGGAUCAUCACCUGACGUCCCGGCAGCCGAUUACCAACAUAUAGUCGGCC